GACGAACGCUGGCGGCGUGCCUAAUACAUGCAAGUCGAACGGUUUAGUUCCAAGAGGCUUGCCUUUUGGAACUAGACAGUGGCGGACGGGUGAGUAACACGUAGGCAACCUACCUGUCAAACCGGGAUAACCUCGGGAAACCGAAGCUAAACCCGGAUAAGCUCCUUUUUCGCAUGAAGGGGGAGUGAACAGGUGCGACCUGAUGACAGAUGGGCCUGCGGCGCAUUAGCUAGUAGGUAGGGUAACGGCCUACCUAGGCGAUGAUGCGUAGCCGACCUGAGAGGGCGUACGGCGACACGGGGACUGAGAUAAGGCCCAGACUCCUACGGGAGGCAGCAGUAGGGAAUCUUCGGCAAUGGGAGAAAGCCUGACCGGGCGACGCCGCGUGAGUGAGGAAGGCCUUCGGGUUGUAAAACUCUGGUGUUUGGGAAGAAGGGAAAGGGUAGGACCCUUAGGUGACGGUACCAAACGAGAAAGCCCCGGCUAACUACGUG
rnacentral:rRNA from 1 species